CCGUGUUCCUACUGAUCAGAAGAAAGAGAAACUCUCAGCAAUCUGCUGAUCCUGGGGACAGACUUGACCACAGUGAGCAGCGUCUACCCAAUCAGUCUGAGGAAAACUGUGACCUUCACUAUGCCAGUGUCCACUUCAUGAAGAGUCAGACGGAUCCCGUCUACUCCAACGUCGGAUCAGCUGAACCCAGCAAACACAAGGAGGCGGAGGAGGUUGCGUACGCUUCUGUCAACUUUAACAGAUCUGCCCCGAGAACCAGAGGUCAGGACACUGGAGAGGAUCCAGCUGCAUUGUACAGCACAGUCAAAAAACCUCCUGCUGUUUAGACCAACGUCUGGAAAUCACCUUAGUCCCGAUGGAAAUAUCUCAACAGCUGCGGGAUGGAUUUGAAUAGAAGUUCAUACAACUGUUCAUGGUCCCCACAGGAUGAAUCCUACUUUGGUGACAGGCAGACUCCAGCAUCAUUGUUGAAGUGAAUGUUCAGUUUUAAGUGACUUGUCUUGACAGCUAAUGGAUAAAUUGCCCCGAGGAUGAAUCCAAACGAA